rnacentral:misc_RNA from 1 species
ACCUACUGUUUAAUUUUGAGGGUUCGUUUUUACGAAUACUCAAAAUUAGCACUUUUAGCAACAGAAUAAACUGAACGCAUGUGAAGUUUGUUUGUUGGCGCUGUGCGUUAGCACUUUUAGCAACGGGAUUUAUCCGUUGGCGCUGUGCGUUAGCACUUUGAAAACUGCAUAUAUAUUUAGUGAUAUGACAUCUAAUUUGUAAUAUAUAAAGCUGAUAACUUUUUAAAAUUAUCGAAGUUGAUAGCUUCUAAUCUAUCAAACCUUUUUAACUGGUCAA